AAGGCUUUAUCUUAAUUAAAGUACCUGUUUUGCAUACAGGAGAUGCGGGUUAGUGUCCCGCAAGUCUUA
rnacentral:tRNA from 2 species